CCAGACUCCUACGGGAGGCAGCAGUGGGGAAUAUUGCACAAUGGGCGGAAGCCUGAUGCAGCAACGCCGCGUGCGGGAUGACGGCCUUCGGGUUGUAAACCGCUUUCGCCUGUGACGAAGCGUGAGUGACGGUAAUGGGUAAAGAAGCACCGGCUAACUACGUGCCAGCAGCCGCGGUGAUACGUAGGGUGCGAGCGUUAUCCGGAUUUAUUGGGCGUAAAGGGCUCGUAGGUGGUUGAUCGCGUCGGAAGUGUAAUCUUGGGGCUUAACCCUGAGCGUGCUUUCGAUACGGGUUGACUUGAGGAAGGUAGGGGAGAAUGGAAUUCCUGGUGGAGCGGUGGAAUGCGCAGAUAUCAGGAGGAACACCAGUGGCGAAGGCGGUUCUCUGGGCCUUUCCUGACGCUGAGGAGCGAAAGCGUGGGGAGCGAACAGGCUUAGAUACCCUGGUAGUCCACGCUGUAAACGGUGGGUACUAGGUGUGGGGUCCAUUCCACGGGUUCCGUGCCGUAGCUAACGCUUUAAGUACCCCGCCUGGGGAGUACGGCCGCAAGGCUAAAACUCAAAGGAAUUGACGGGGGCCCGCACAAG
rnacentral:rRNA from 1 species